CGGCCUUAGAGGAACAUUGGGUAGAAAUAAAGAUGUAUCUGAGGUGAGAGUGGGGUUACCUGUGCAUGACAGACUAAAGGUCCGCCCUCUUGGCGCUUAUUAGAAGACAGUUAUGGGCUAAUUGUGCAUGGAUUGCCAUGGUAGUGAUUAUCACUUAGCUUCGACUACUACCCUAAUGACUUGUCCUCCUUCAGCAUCACGGACUUAGGUUGGUGACAUCUGGGGACUGUGUGCUGAGUGAAGCCUGCUACCACUUGCCACCACCCACCCUCCAUUCAUUAUGAUUUCCCCAUGCUGAAGCCCAGAAACUUGCCAGGAAGAGGCAAAUGUCCCAUCUGUUCCCCACCAUAGAGACACACCAUUCAGGAGACCCACGUGGCCCUCCACUGAGAGUUUCUGUGGGAGAACUCAAUUCCUCUUAAAGUUCUAGCACAUCAUUUCACACCAUCACAGCUCCAUCACAGAAGAGGGUACAAGAAAUGAGAAGUGGAGCCAGGGGUUUCAUUAACGACUUUGCUUCAGUGUGACUUAAUAGGGUUCCCAGGCACUCAGGACCUGAGCAAUCUGCAGAGAUCAUCUGCCAAGCAGCAGGAGCCGGGCAGCAGAGGCAGACCUUCAAAUCCACUUUGGAAAAAUAAAAAGGGCACAUAAAUUCUCAUCAGGUUACGUUCUCACAUUCGUGCCUUUCGGUUUUGUUUUGGAACUCUGACUGAACCAGACUAUGCAUGUGGCUAUUGGGUGCAGAACUAUUCACACAAGCCUGAGGAGCUUGCAUUUGGUACACAGGUGAGGGCGACGGCUGUCCCUCCCUACCCAGGAUUCCAUCAGGGAGUGGUCAGGGAGGAAACAGAAAGAAUGCCACAUGUACUCUCUCACGUGUGAAUUCUGGAUUUUAGCCCUUACUUUUACAAGUUUAACGCGAAGCAGCUAUUGAAGCUAGGCAACCAGAA
rnacentral:lncRNA from 1 species